AUUGAACGCUGGCGGCAGGCCUAACACAUGCAAGUCGAACAAGUGGCGGACGGGUGAGUAAUGUCUGGGAAACUGCCCGAUGGCGGGGGAUAACUACUGGAAACGGUAGCUAAUACCGCAUACCAUCGGAUGUGCCCAGAUGGGAUUAGCUAGUAGGGGGGGUAACGGCUCACCUAGGCGACGAUCCCUAGCUGGUCUGAGAGGAUGACCAGCCACCCUGGAACUGAGACACGGUCCAGAGGCCUACGGGAGGCAGCAGUGGGGAAUAUGGCACAAUGGGCGCAGGCCUGAUGCAGCCAUGCAGCGUGUAUGAGGAAGGCCUUCGGGUUGUAGAGUACUUUCAGCGAGGGGGCGUUACUCGCGGAAGAAGCAUCGGCUAACUCCGUGCCAGCCGCCGCGGUAAUAC
rnacentral:rRNA from 1 species